rnacentral:rRNA from 1 species
AAGUCCCGUAACGAGCGCAACCCUUGUCCUUAGUUGCCAUCAUUCAGUUGGGCACUCUAAGGAGACUGCCGGUGACAAACCGGAGGAAGGUGGGGAUGACGUCAAAUCAUCAUGCCCCUUAUGACCUGGGCUACACACGUGCUACAAUGGAUGGUACAAAGGGCUGCAAAACCGCGAGGUUAAGCCAAUCCCAUAAAACCAUUCUCAGUUCGGAUUGCAGGCUGCAACUCGCCUGCAUGAAGCCGGAAUCGCUAGUAAUCGCGGAUCAGCAUGCCGCGGUGAAUACGUUCCCGGGCCUUGUACACACCGCCCGU